rnacentral:piRNA from 1 species
AGGAAACCAAGUGGUGGAUGGAAUUGUCAGU